UAGCUCGUCAGGCUCAUAACCUGAAGGUCGCAGGUUCAAAUCCUGCCCCCGCAA
rnacentral:tRNA from 1 species